AUGGAUCUCAGGACUGUUCUCACCAUCUCAGCUCUUUUACUUGUGCCUGCUGAAUCAUACCAAACAGUGUUUAACAGCACUACCAACACCAAUGAAGCCAACAGCACCAGGAAUUGUUCCUGCAACAGCAGUGUUCCAGUAACCAGUCCUAGCCCCACCACCAGAUCCAACAGCCCUGCACCUACCCUGCACCUCCUCAGAAUCCAAUGGGAAAAAAAGGGUAGUUGUGAAGGACACGUUGAGCUGAUCUCCUACAAAGCCUCCAACUUCCAGCCCAUCUGUUAUAACAGUAACACAAACAAGUGGCUUUUGGAAGAUGUGUGUAAGAACAAGAAAGGUUGUAAAGGCCCAAUGAGCUGGAGAAAAGGCAAGACGCAGAACUGUUCUUACAUCACAGAGAAUGGAACAAUGGUUGAGUCCCACUAUGAGACUCUCCGGGUGCAGUGCACAGCUGAGGUCCUCCCAGAUCUACAGGGGCAGCUGAAGUCCUACAAAGUGGUGACAGGUUUGCUCUGCUGUGUGCUGCUGGUCCUGUUACUGCUCCGCUUCACCAGACCCACUUUCAAAGCCCUGCAGAAGAGAUAUUCGUCCAGCAGGAAACUGAUGUCCUAGUGUGGGAGGUAUAGAGCCAUUGUAAAUGCUGCCAGCUCAGAAGGACAGGAGACAUUUGGUUUUUGGUCUCUGGUCCAGUGUCGGAUAUAACAGACAGAGAGCUGUGCAGCAGAGACAGCUGGCAGUGUAAGGAAGGUCACCUCUGUAGAACGUCACACCAGGCUGAAGGUCUUUGCACAGCAGUGAGUUUUUUAAUCCGUCAUCCGAUUAAAUUUGUUACACAUAGAAACCUUGCACACUCAGUCCAAUGCAAAAACAAAAAAUAUCGAACCUGUUCUGAAAUUUUUAAUGAUGGACGAAGUGUCA
rnacentral:lncRNA from 1 species